rnacentral:tRNA from 1 species
GCCGAUGUGGUGAAAUUGGUAGACACGCUGUCUUGAGGGGGCAGUGGCGAGAGCCGUGUGAGUUCGAGUCUCACCAUCGGCACCA